rnacentral:lncRNA from 1 species
UAAAAAUCUAUUAAUUAUUUAUAAGGGAAUGAGACAGGACGAAUUACGGGGUCACCCGCCCAAUGUACAUCUCUACAUACACCUUCAGAUGUUCCAACUCGUUCGCCUUUUCAGAACUGAAAGAAAAAAAAAUCGCCUUUUUAUUCGAUGAAAGUGCUAAUAAUCUCUGCUGCAGUGCCGAUUGUUUCGAGGAUUUCUUCGAUUUUUCUGGGGUAAAUUUUGACCUAAUUGCUUGUCGUAUUUGUACACUGUUCAGGCUUCUGUUAGGUUGCUGAGGAAUGUAAGUGUGAAAAACUACAACUUAGAUUAUGUAAGACCUUAGGGAAUUCAGAUGUAUGCGGAAGGUUUAGAGACCCCUAAUGUGGAUUUUUCUUUUUUAUAAAUAUUUAUUUUUGUCGAAUUACAUGAGCCUCAACUUUGAUUUUUCUUCUCGUAUGAUGGAUACCCCAGUUUAAUGCAUGGAAAUGAGCAAUUCCUGAGCAUUUAGCGUUCUUUCUUGAUUGUUCUUAUGCGUGUAUUCUGCUUCCAUUGAUUUUUGCUUCCCAAAUGCAAGGAAGAACUGCCUUUUCGUUUUUACUGACAUUGGAAUUAGUUUUCUAUUACUUGCCGUUCAUAGGUUAUCAAUAUAAUGUUUCGAGCAUUUGUUCCUUUGGUUUUUCCGAUAUUACUUUGUUAAUCAAGCGUUUCUUUAGAUUAUUCUGUUUAUUCUC